CAGAGGGUGCAAGCGUUAAUCGGAAUUACUGGGCGUAAAGCGUGCGUAGACGGUUAUGUAAGUCGGAUGUGAAGGCCCCGGGCUCAACCUGGGAAUGGCAUUCGAAACUGCAUAGCUAGGGUGCGGAAGAGGGAAGCGGAAUUUCGGGUGUAGCGGUGAAAUGCGUAGAUAUCCGAAGGAACAUCAGUGGCGAAAGCGGCUUCCUGGUCCAGCACCGACGUUCAGGCACGAAAGCGUGGGGAGCAAACAGGAUUAGAUACCCUGGUAGUCCACGCCAUAAACGAUGACAACUAGACGUUGAGAGGGUAAGCCUCCCAGUGUCGCAGCUAACGCGUUAAGUUGUCCGCCUGGGGAGUACGGCCGCAAGGUUG
rnacentral:rRNA from 1 species